GGCCUGGUGGCUCAGUGGUUAGAGCGCCCGUCUCAUGUACGGAAGGUCGUGGGUUCGAACCCCGGCCGAGUCA
rfam:Strongylocentrotus purpuratus Contig101784_fixed, whole genome shotgun sequence.